rnacentral:rRNA from 1 species
UACGUAGGAUCCGAGCGUUAUCCGGAUUUAUUGGGUUUAAAGGGAGCGUAGGUGGAUUGUUAAGUCAGUUGUGAAAGUUUGCGGCUCAACCGUAAAAUUGCAGUUGAAACUGGCAGUCUUGAGUACAGUAGAGGUGGGCGGAAUUCGUGGUGUAGCGGUGAAAUGCUUAGAUAUCACGAAGAACUCCGAUUGCGAAGGCAGCUCACUGGACUGCAACUGACACUGAGGCACGAAAGUGUGGGGAGCAAACAGG